AUUGAACGCUGGCGGCAGGCCUAACACAUGCAAGUCGAGCGGAUGAAGAGAGCUUGCUCUCUGAUUCAGCGGCGGACGGGUGAGUAAUGCCUAGGAAUCUGCCUGGUAGUGGGGGACAACGUUUCGAAAGGAACGCUAAUACCGCAUACGUCCUACGGGAGAAAGCAGGGGACCUUCGGGCCUUGCGCUAUCAGAUGAGCCUAGGUCGGAUUAGCUAGUAGGUGGGGUAAUGGCCCACCUAGGCGACGAUCCGUAACUGGUCUGAGAGGAUGACCAGUCACACUGGAAAUGAGACACGGUCCAGGCUCCUACGGGAGGCAGCAGUGGGGAAUAUUGGACAAUGGGCGAAAGCCUGAUCCAGCCAUGCCGCGUGUGUGAAGAAGGUCUUCGGAUUGUAAAGCACUUUAAGUUGGGAGGAAGGGCAGUAAGUUAAUACCUUGCUGUUUUGACGUUACCAACAGAAUAAGCACCGGCUAACUUCGUGCCAGCCGCCGCCGUAAGAC
rnacentral:rRNA from 1 species